rnacentral:rRNA from 1 species
CCGGAGUGGACGCAUCACUGGUGUUCGGGUUGUCAUGCCAAUGGCACUGCCCGGUAGCUAAAUGCGGAAGAGAUAAGUGCUGAAAGCAUCUAAGCACGAAACUUGCCCCGAGAUGAGUUCUCCCUGAGACUUAGAGUCUCCUGAAGGAACGUUGAAGGCGACGACGUUGAUAGGCCGGGUGUGUAAGCGCAGCGAUGCGUUGAGCUAACCGGUACUAAUGAACCGUGAGGCUUAACCUUACAACGCCGAAG